rnacentral:lncRNA from 1 species
CUAUUGAGAAUGUAAAAAAUAUAUUAUCCGGGUGAUAAUAGGAUAUGUACUAGUAGAUUUUGUGCUGAUACUUCAGGUUUAGGAGGUUAGUUUGAACCCUAGCAAUUAGUUGUGGCUAUAUUAUAGGUGCAUGUGCAUUAUCUUCUAUUUAGGAUCUAUGCAAAAUUGCAAAAGUAAUGUCAAUUUUAACUAUGUACUAUCCUAU